AUUGAACGCUGGAGGCAUGCUUUACACAUGCAAGUCGGACGGCAGCGGGGUAGUGCUUGCACUACUGCCGGCGAGUGGCGAACGGGUGAGUAAUAUAUUGGAACGUACCGAGUAAUGGGGGAUAACCAAUCGAAAGAUUGGCUAAUACCGCAUACGCUCUGAGGAGGAAAGCAGGGGACCUUCGGGCCUUGCGUUAUUCGAGCGGCCAAUAUCUGAUUAGCUAGUUGGUGGGGUAAGGGCCUACCAAGGCGACGAUCAGUAGCGGGUCUGAGAGGAUGAUCCGCCACACUGGGACUGAGACACGGCCCAGACUCCUACGGGAGGCAGCAGUGGGGAAUUUUGGACAAUGGGCGCAAGCCUGAUCCAGCCAUGCCGCGUGUCUGAAGAAGGCCUUCGGGUUGUAAAGGACUUUUGUUAGGGAAGAAAAAGGAGCGGUUAAUACCCGUUUCUGCUGACGGUACCUAAAGAAUAAGCACCGGCUAACUACGUG
rnacentral:rRNA from 1 species